rnacentral:rRNA from 1 species
AGUCGAGCGAAGCGGCUGAAUUGAUUCUUCGGAUGAUUUCCUUUGUGACUGAGCGGCGGACGGGUGAGUAACGCGUGGGUAACCUGCCUCAUACAGGGGGAUAACAGUUAGAAAUGACUGCUAAUACCGCAUAAGACCACGGUACCGCAUGGUACAGUGGUAAAAACUCCGGUGGUAUGAGAUGGACCCGCGUCUGAUUAGGUAGUUGGUGGGGUGAUGGCCUACCAAGCCGACGAUCAGUAGCCGACCUGAGAGGGUGACCGGCCACAUUGGGACUGAGACACGGCCCAGACUCCUACGGGAGGCAGCAGUGGGGAAUAUUGCACAAUGGAGGAAACUCUGAUGCAGCGACGCCGCGUGAAGGAUGAAGUAUUUCGGUAUGUAAACUUCUAUCAGCAGGGAAGAAAAUGACGGUACCUGACUAAGAAGCCCCGGCUAACUACGUGCCAGCAGCCGCGGUAAUACGUAGGGGGCAAGCGUUAUCCGGAUUUACUGGGUGUAAAGGGAGCGUAGACGGCACGGCAAGCCAGAUGUGAAAGCCCGGGGCUCAACCCCGGGACUGCAUUUGGAACUGCUGAGCUAGAGUGUCGGAGAGGCAAGUGGAAUUCCUAGUGUAGCGGUGAAAUGCGUAGAUAUUAGGAGGAACACCAG